AUUCACGUUGAUCCUGCGUGAGAUUUCCGCUAGAAGGGUUGGAUUAAGCCAUGAAAGUGUGUUAACUUCGUGUUGACCGCAGAAGGCUGAGUAACACGUCAUUAAUCUGCCUUAUGGUCUCUAAUAAUCUCGAGAAAUUGAGUGUAAAGGGGAUAGUUAUUCUAUACUGGAAUGUUUGAAUAAUCAACAUAAGAUGAGAUGGCGGCCGAUUAGAUUGUUGGUGAGGUAAUGGCUCACCAAGUCUAAGAUCGGUAGGGGUCGUGAGAGCGAUGACCUCCAGAAGGACACUGAGAUAAGGGUCCUAGUCCUAAGGGGUGCAGCAGGCGCGAAAACUCUACAAUGCACGCAAGUGUGAUAGGGCAACCCUUCGUGCUUACCUAACGGUAGGCUUUUGUAAGGCUUAGUUCGUCUUACGAAUAAGUGGUGGGCAAGACCGGUGCCAGCAGCCGCGGUAAUACCGGCGCCACAAGUGGAGAUCAUGCUUAUUGGGUCUAAAGUGUUCGUAGCUGGUUGUCUAAGUCUCUUGUGAAAGUUCUGUAGCUUAACUCAGAAAUUGCAAGAGAUACUGGAUGACUUGAGACAGGAAGAGGUGCAAGGUAUUGAUUGGGUAGCGGUAAAAUGUUAUAAUCCUUUCAAGACCAACUAAGGCGAAGGCAUUGCACUUGGACUGAUCUGACAGUGAGGAACGAGAGCUGGGGUAGCGAACCGGAUUAGAUACCCGGGUAGUC
rnacentral:rRNA from 1 species